rnacentral:lncRNA from 1 species
CUGAGUCGUCCUUUGCUCAUAGCCUUCAGGUAAAUCAGGAGGUGUGUGCAAGUGUGUCCUGCUCAUGUAAUUCCUGUGCCUCUGCGACCUGACCCUCCUCUCUGCCAGCCGGGGAUCUGAUGACUGCCCACAUGUGGCACCGUUUGUUCCUGUAAUUGGAGUGUUCUCAUCCACGAAACAGCUCAGUGGUCUGCCUGGACUGGAGUAUUCUGAUGCUGGCCGUGUUGGUCGUUCCCACUGAGUUGUUCUUGUAAUAUGAUUUAAAUACUGGAUCCUUCCAGAAGCAGUUCUCCUUUCCUCCCACCUGCCAAGAAUCACACUCUGAGGUUCUGUGUUUGCUCUGA